AAACAUUUUUUUAAAAAUUAGUGUAAGAACCCUUGAGGCAAACACAUGGAAAUUAGGGAUUCAAAGAGAUGCUCGGAAUUAAUAGCAUAUAUAGUAAAUAGGAGCAUUCAAACAUAUUUAUAUACAAUAAUCUCAAAAUUAAGAAUCCUAAGUAAGAAAUCAGAUAGACAGUAGAGAGUCGGAACCCUAGAAAAGAUCUAAGACAUGGAAUCUCAGAAACAAAAGGAUUCAAGCACAUAUCAUAGGAGUAGUCACAUAAUACUUGAAAGAAACAGAAGCAUAGUGAUUUAAAAAGGGGUCGAAAACCCUUUUUAAAAGGGGAAUAAGAACGUUUGAAAACUUGCAUUAAUCGAAGAUAUCAAGUAAUAAGUAGUGUAGAACACAAA
rnacentral:lncRNA from 1 species